AAACUAGGGAUAGAUAACCUAUUAUUAAAAAUGUAAAUUUUUUUACUUAAUUAGUAUUAGUUAUGUUCUUGAAAAUUAAAAAAUUUGGCGGUAUUUUAGUCUUUUCAGAGGAACCUGUUCUAUAAUCGAUAGUCCACGAUUAGAUGCACUUUAUUUAUUAGUUUAUAUAUCGUCGUAGUUUAAAUAUUUUAAUAGAAUUAUAAAUAUUUAAAAUUUUUUAUUAAAAAAUAAAUCAGAUCAAGGUGUAGUUUAUAAUAAAGAAGAAAUGGGUUACAAUAAAUUUAUUUUAAAAUAAUUUUUGUUAAAAAAAUUUGAAUUUGGAUUUGAGAGUAAUUUUUUAGAUUUUUUUAAGAUGAUUAAAGCUCUAAAAUAUGUACAUAUCGCCCGUCGCUUUCAUUUUAAAAUGAAAUAAGUCGUAACAUAGU
rnacentral:rRNA from 1 species